UUUAAUUUAGAUUCAUUUUACAACUUAUCGAUUUUAGCGAGUUAUCACAUGUCGAAAUCGAGAUUUAUGUAAAUAUACAAUAUUCCAAUCACAUUGAUACAUUGAUGUCCACAACUCAUAAUAACAUACAAAGUCAUCAGUAUCAUUACACAAACUUUCUUUUUGCUCCACCAUGCUUUUCUCCCCAUUCAUACAACACCACCACUCAACACUCAAGUGCACUCCAUCGCCCCUUUGCCUUCCUAGCCUACAAGUUCAGCCAAAACACUCCCUUAAUCACUAGCAAACCAAGGGAAGUAAUUAGUCUAAGAUGCUGCCAGAAACUCCAAGGUGAGAUUUGGCUUUCAUUCAUCCGGUGCUCUGCCACUUCUAGGUAAACUUUGGCUACAUUUUUUUUUUCCAUCUUCUUCCAUGAUUUUACCUGUAUUCAUUAAACAACAACAAGUACUACCAUUUUCAGAUUCAAUCAUUUGAUACCAGUUAACACUUGAAAGAGUGAGAGAUAGAGCAGUUCAAAUUUUGCCAAACUUCAACAAGAUCCAAUCAACUUAUUUAACUCAGCAACAACGGCAAACCUCUAAUCAUUUUCUAGGUAUAUACUACUGUUUCAGUUCAUUUUCUCAACUCAUUCAAGCCACAUAUAUUGUCAUCAUAUCAUAGCAUAAUCGAUCAUCUAUGAAGUGCUUAAGGAGAUGGAACGAAUUGUAGGCAUACUUCACUAUACUUUAUAAACACAAUGAGAUUUCUUAACUUCAUAAGCAAAUGAAUCAAGAUACAAUAAGUAGAAUGAAAUAGACUUAACUUUAGAAGAGAAGAACGUUGGGCUGCACUGCGGGCCGCUGGACCUCAAGAACAGCGGCAAUGGUGCGACGAAUCAAGCAGACGCCGGCAGCGACGCCCCUAGUCGUCAACGACAGCGCUACUCGCCGACUGCACAGUGCCGGUGGUGGAUCGAAACGAUAGCAGCGGCUUCCCCAAAACGGCAACACACGAACCACGUCGGUCCAGUGGCGACGACAGUGGCGGAAGUCUCGAGCGCAGCAGCAGCGGACGCUCGGCAACGGCGUUCUGCCUUUUCUAAAACUUAGGGCUCGACGACGGAGGGAGAUUCUGAGGACGAGGGAGAUGAACGGCGCCGCUCCCAGGCGGCGAUAUCUCGCCGAAAUUUCAGGGCAGCGGAGGCGCGACUGAUUUUAUGGGAGCAAGAGGCGGCGAAUCUCCCGGCCUUCCAGUUACAGCGGCGGAGGGAUCGACGGUGGUCCAGAGAUGGUGAGAUCGACGAUUGUGGUGGCCGAUGGCUGCUACUAUUCGUCUGUCAAGGAGUCGGAUUCACUGGUCGGCGGCGGCUUUUGUCGUUGCUGUCGCCGGAAACGGACGGAGAGGGGAGAGCAGUGGGUGACGACGGCUUAUCGCAGCUGCUCCCCGGCGAGCUUCCGCAGCGGCGGAGAUUUGAGAGAGAGAGAGAGAUGGAGGGAGACGGCGGCGAUACCUAUCGUCGUUGCCAAGGAAGGAGGCCGGUCGACGGCUGUCUCGCCGGAGGAAGCCGCGGCGGCGGGACUGAUGGUUGAGUGAGAGAGGUGAAGAGAGAGCCGAGAGGCAGAGAGGGAGAGUGAGGGCUGAAGCUAUGUGUGUGUGCGUGAGAGGCGCAGAUUUGAGGGAGGAAAGGAAGAAAAGGGCUAGGGAUUGGGGAGUGGAUUUGAGUUUGGGCCAAGUGAUGGGCCGAUUUUUUUAUUUAGUUGGGCCGAAAAAUUUGGGCCUCCUAUUUAUUUUUGGGCUUUGUUAUUUAUUUUCAGUGGGCUUGAGUUGGGCUGAGUUAUUUAUUAAUUUUGGGCCGAUUUUAAAUUAGGAAUUGGGCUUCAGAAUUUAUUUAUAUGGACCGAUUUUAAUUACUGAUUGGGCCUCUGAUUUUAUUUAUAUGGGCUUUGAUUUAAUUGUUGUUUUGAUUUGUAUGGGCUUUAUUUAAUUGAGUUGGACUCUAAUUAUUUAAUUGUUUUGGGCUCCCCUUAUAAUUCAUAAAUUGGGCCUUUAUCUAUAUUAUUUGGGCCGAAUUAUUUGAGCUUGGGUUUGUUUUAUUCUAAAGGAAAUGAGCUUCCAAUUUAAUUGAUUGGGCUUUCACUUAAAUUCGAAUUGGGCCAGUCUUUUAUUUAAAUGGCCAUUCCCAUUAUUUCUAUUGGGCUUGAAUUAUUUUAAAGAUUGGGCUGAUGCUUAUUUUACGAUGGGCUAUUAUUCUAAUCUCAUUUAUAUUUCAGCUGGGCUGAGUUUAUUUAAUUUUAAGCUCAGAAUAAUUCAUUCUAUUCUUGGGCUAAUUUUAAAUUAUGGACUGAAAUUUUAUUUAGUUGGACCUUACAUGAUUUAUUUAUUUGAGCCCAACUAUUUAUUAUUUAAUCAUUUGGGCCAAGAAUGAUUUAAUUACUAAGCCCAAUGAAUUAUUUUUAAUUGGACCUUUCAUUUUAAUUAUCCAGGCCCAUUUCUGCUUAAUUAAUUAUUGAGCUACCUUAUGUAGAUCCUUUUAAUUAUUUAAUCUUAUAACAUUACUUAUUCCUAUUUAUUUAGCCCGAUUAAUUAUGAGGUUAUAAAGUGAAUAAGCUGAAGUAUUUAUUUAUUUUCUAUUGACUACGAGGAGCGGGGGUUUAUUUAAUUGACGGAUUAGAACACCCCGAAGAGAAAGGAUUAAUUUUUGUUAAUUAUCCGGCUUCAUGAGACAGACUUAGCUUUUUUUAAAUCCGAUACUGGAUUAACAAUAGAAAUUCCCUGAUUAUAUCUCAGAAUAAUAGUUCAUGCAUACGAGAUUCAUGCAUAGUUAAUUACGCAUUCUCAUUUAAUUGAGAAUUUUCCCUCGAUUUAAAGUCUUACGUUAUUUUCUCGGAUUAAAGGUGAGCGCAAGAAUAAGAGCUCGUCAAGGAGUCACUAAUCUGUAGCAAAGCUUUGCUAUCAGGUGGGUUACUUUCAUAUAUAUCAAAUGAGUUUAAUGUUAUGUUUGAACAGUUAUUUCAUUGCAAAAUCUUUGAACUGAAAAUUAUUUCAAAUGUUGUCUUGCCAUAAAUGUUUCAAUGUUUGGUAUGAUAUCUAUCUGAUGUGGCUUUGCCUAGUUAUUAUGCAAUCGAAUUCGGGUCCUGAGCAGUUGAUAGCUAUCCUGCCAGGGCUAGUGUACACCAGUGACCGUGAGUCAUCUAGCGGGUUGGCCGGUCAAGUGUCCGUGAGAGGUGGCCACCUCUCCGGCACACAGUUCCAGAUAUGAUAGAUUACAAGAGAACUUAGUCUGCAGACGAACUUUAAGAAUCACAAAUGAAUUUAGUAAGCUUGGGCCUUUUUAGCGAAAAACUCCCUUGCUGUACUGUUUAUGAUGGCAUGACAAUUUACAACUUUACGAAGCAUGUUAUAUUUCAUAGUAGGCAUAUGUGCCCACUGAGUACUUUUGUACUCAGCCCUGCAUAUAUUUCUAAAUGUGCAGGUUGAGCAGCUGCCGAUGGUGAUGAAGUGACGAGCGGGACUCUUUUGUCUUAUUAUGUAUUAAUGAACUCUAGGGUUACAUGUCUUCAUACAUGUAAUCAGAACCUUAUUCCGCUACGUACUCAGAAGUUUUAUGUUAUUUUGGAUAAGUCGGAGUUAUCCGAACUUGUUAGUUAUUUGAGUCUAUACGACAAAAACUCUGUUAUAUUAUAGAUAUCCAUGUUGUUAACAAUGAUGAAAUACG
rnacentral:lncRNA from 1 species